GAUGAACGCUAGCGGCAGGCCUAACACAUGCAAGUCGAGGGGUAACAGGGAGAAGCUUGCUUCUUUGCUGACGACCGGCGCACGGGUGCGUAACGCGUAUACAAUCUACCUUUUACUGAGGGAUAGCCCAGAGAAAUCUGGAUUAAUACCUCAUGGUAUAUGGAGACGGCAUCGUCACUAUAUUAAAGGUUACGGUAAGAGAUGAGUAUGCGUCCUAUUAGCUAGUUGGUGUGGUAACGGCACACCAAGGCAACGAUAGGUAGGGGCCCUGAGAGGGGGAUCCCCCACACUGGUACUGAGACACGGACCAGACUCCUACGGGAGGCAGCAGUGAGGAAUAUUGGACAAUGGGCGCAAGCCUGAUCCAGCCAUGCCGCGUGCAGGAAGACUGCCCUAUGGGUUGUAAACUGCUUUUAUACAGGAAGAAACCUUUCCACGUGUGGAAAGCUGACGGUACUGUAAGAAUAAGGACCGGCUAACUCCG
rnacentral:rRNA from 1 species